GGGGCUGAUCUUGGAUUCGACGGGAUUUACAAAACCUAAGGUGCAUGCCGAGGUGAGGCUGGCCUCGUAAAAAGCCUCAAAAAAAUAAUUGCAAACGACUCGCAAUACGAAUCUGCUGCGUUGGCAGCUUAAUCAGCCUAAUAAACUGAGGAUUCCCUCUCUUCCUAGCCUUCUCUCUUAAGGAGAGGAAUUAAAAGAGGUCAAACUGAAAAGAGAUCACGUAGAUGUCCUGCCUGGGACGAAAACGUUAAAUUUAAUCAGGCUAGUUUAUUAAUAGUGUAGCGUGUCCGUCCGCAGCUAAUAAACGAACUAUAUAGAUUGGACUAUAGCAUGUAGUACCGAUGGCUGAGAAAUUCCGGACGCGGGUUCGAAUCCCGCCAGCUCCACCA
rnacentral:tmRNA from 1 species